GAUGAACGCUGGCGGCGUGCCUAAUACAUGCAAGUCGAGCGAACAGACCAGGAGCUUGCUCCUCUGACGGUGUCGGCGGACGGGUGAGGAACACGUGUAUAACCUACCUAUAAGACUGGGAUAACAUCGGGAAACCGGAGCUAAUACCGGAUAAUAUAUUGGACCACAUGGUGCACGAGUUAAAGACGGUUGUUCGGUGACUUAUAGAUGGAUCAGCGCCGCAUUAGCUAGUUGGUAAGGUAACGGCUUACCAAGGCAACGAUUCUUAGACGACCUGAGAGGGUGAUCGGCCACACUGGAACUGAGACACGGUCCAGACUCCUACGGGAGGCAGCAGUAGGGAAUCUUCCGCAAUGGGCGAAAGCCUGACGGAGCAACGCCGCGUGAGUGAUGAAGGUCUUCGGAUCGUAAAACUCUGUUAUUAGGGAAGAACAAAUGUGUAAGUAACUAUGCACGUCUUGACGGUACCUAAUCAGAAAGCCACGGCUAACUACGUG
rnacentral:rRNA from 1 species